rnacentral:rRNA from 1 species
GAUGAACGCUGGCGGCGUGCUUAACACAUGCAAGUCGAACGGUGAAGCUCCAGCUUGCUGGAGUGGAUCAGUGGCGAACGGGUGAGUAACACGUGAGCAACCUGCCCCUGACUCUGGGAUAACAGCCGGAAACGGCUGCUAAUACCGGAUAUGCACCAUGAACGCAUGUUCUGUGGUGGGAAAGAUAUUUCGGUUGGGGAUGGGCUCGCGGCCUAUCAGCUUGUUGGUGAGGUAAUGGCUCACCAAGGCGUCGACGGGUAGCCGGCCUGAGAGGGUGACCGGCCACACUGGGACUUGGCCACGGCCCAGACUCCUACGGGAGGCAGCGGUGGGGAAUAUUGCACAAUCGGCGAAGGCCUGAUGCAGCAACGCCGCGUGAGGGAUGACGGCCUUCGGGUUGUAAACCUCUUUUAGCAGGGAAGAAGCGAGAGUGACGGUACCUUCAGAAAAAGCGCCGGCUAACUACGUG